UAAUUGAUUUGCUGCACUACUCUAAUUGAACAAAAUUAUCAAAAGCCAAAGCAAGUGCAUGAGUCUGUCGGAUAAGUGAGAAAAUCUCCAUAACCUGCCAUAUCUUUUAGGAACCAUCCAUUAACCACAACAGCAUUCUCAACCAAAAAUCUCUGGAAGCCAAGCGACCUACCUUGCUUCUGGCCUCAGGGAACGGUUAGAGUCUC